AGUAUCGCGAGAGCGGCGUGCCGCGACCGCAGCGCUGGAUGGCGCUGGUGGGGGCUGGAUGCACCCACGGCUCGCCCUCUCUCCCGUUAAAUCACACGGUAGGACACGCGAGCAGACGGAGACUGACGGCGACAGAACCCGGGACAAAGCAAAAGAGCAACAGAAAGCCUUGAAGGGGUUGCCACAUGGGAGCAAGAGCACUUUCUAAUCACCAUUUAACUGCCAGAGUCUGCCAAAAGGACGCUUUGGACACGCUCACAUGUCCUUAACCACAACCAGCUAAAUCCAAGGAGCUAAAAAAAGAAAAAGCGAGCUGCUGGCACCAGCAAAAGGACGGAUUUUUAAGGAAAAACACGGCUGUUGGGGAGGGUUGUAUGGGUGCCGAAUCCCCACCCAAGACACCUCAAAUCUCCUCAAUCUUCCUCAGCUGCCUCCCUCCUUCUCCUCCCUCCGUUCCUUCCUUUGCUUUUCUCUCAUUCUCCCUCAUUCUCUCUCAUGGGAGUGACAUAGACGCCAUCGCUUGGUCUGCUACCCCACCCGUUCCUUGCCUCGACGUGGAAACGGGGGCGUCCAGGUAGUGAUGUCGUGGAAGAGGAACUACUUUGCGUCGGGUGGCGGAGCAGGCGGGAUGCAGGGGCUGGUGACCCCUAGAACCAUGAACUCCAUCGCACCCAGCAAAGGCCUGAGCAACGAGCCAGGACAAAACAGCUGUUUCCUUAACAGCGCUCUGCAGGUACUGUGGCAUCUCGACAUCUUCCGCAGAAGCUUCCGACAGCUCACCACGCACAAGUGUAUGGAGGACUCAUGUAUCUUCUGCGCUUUGAAGAGUAUCUUUGCUCAGUUCCAGUUCAGCAGUGAGCGUGUGCUUCCGUCAGAUGCACUGCGGAGCGCUCUGGCCAAGACUUUCCAAGACGAACAACGCUUUCAGCUGGGUAUCAUGGACGACGCUGCCGAGUGCUUCGAGAAUCUCUUGAUGCGGAUCCACUUCCACAUCAGUGCAGAGAGCAGAGAGGACAUCUGCACGGCUAAACACUGCAUACCACACCAGAAGUUUGCCAUGACUCUGUUUGAGCAGUGUGUGUGUAACAGCUGUGGAGCCACAUCAGACCCCCUGCCCUUCAUUCAGAUGGUUCAUUACAUCUCCACUACAUCCCUCUGUAACCAGGCGGUGAGGAUGCUGGAGUGCAGAGAGAAACCCACACCGGACAUGUUUGGAGAGCUGCUCCGCAACGCCAGCAACAUGGGAGACCUGCGCAACUGCCCUAGUAACUGUGGGGAGGUGCUGCGUAUCCGCCGGGUGCUGAUGAACUCUCCGGAGAUCGUGUCCAUCGGGCUGGUGUGGGAUUCAGACCAUUCAGACCUGGCUGAGGACGUCAUACACAGCCUGGGGACCUGCCUGCGUCUGGGAGAUUUGUUCUACCGUGUGACAGAGGAGAGGGCUCGCCAGGCGGAGCUCUACUUGGUGGGCAUGGUGUGCUACUACGGCAAGCACUACUCCACCUUCUUCUUCCAGACCAAGAUACGCAAGUGGAUGUACUUCGACGACGCCCACGUCAAAGAGAUCGGCCCGAAGUGGAAGGACGUGGUGUCUCGCUGUAUCAAAGGCCACUAUCAGCCCCUGCUGCUGCUCUACGCUGACCCCCGUGGGACGCCGGUGAUACUGCAGGAAAGCCCCAACCCCUGUAGCAGCUCCAACCCGCAGCUGGAGCUCCAGCACUGCAGCAAGGCCGGCUACGACAGCGAGGACUCCGGUCGGGAGCCGUCUAUAUCCAGCGAUACUCGCACCGACUCUUCGACAGACAGCUCCAGUCACAGAGCGUCCCGCUGCAGACCUCUCCACCAGUCCACAGGCAGCCACCUCUCCAGCGAAUCACAGACCACAGUGGUCUGUAACUACGACAUCGGCACUCCGCCGCACGUUGCUGACACCGGAGAGUCAGCGGUGGAGGGUCCUCCCCGCCCUCCCUCUCCUCCGCUGCCGGAGUACAAGGAGACGGCCGUCUUCCUCCUCUCCUCCCGCCGACCGCUCACCUCUUCUUCCUCCUCCUCUCGUCCCCUGUCCUCCUCCUCAUCGUCAGGAGUCGGGGGCUGCGAGGGGGGAGCUGGAGGGCCCCACUGGGAGGAUGAGAGCACCAGCAGCGAGAGCAAGUCCAGCUCUUCUGGAAGCCGCUACAGGCCCACCUGGAGGCCCAGGAGAGAGGCCCUGAACAUCGACAGCAUUUUCACCCGACCGAGAGGGUCCUCUCUGGGCUACAACACUCUGCCUGGUCCCUCUCUCCCUCCUGAGCCGCAGGACUCUUUUCCCACAGCAGGGCCCGCUCCUGCACCCACACAGCCUGGGUUACAAGAGCCAGAAGGGAGGGGGGCUGGGGAGUUGGAGGCAGGGUUUGGGCUGGUCGGACAGCCCAGGUCUCUGGGGAGCGGGCGGACGAUGGGUCCACCUGCCCCUCCACCUCUGAGAGGGGUGGAGCACCAGCCGCGUCUGAUUCAGAGGAUGGAGAGUGGCUACGAGAGCAGUGAGAGGAACAGCAGCAGUCCCGACAGGGAGGUGGGGCAACAGAAACGGGUGCUGAUGUCAGGACCCUCAUGGCGUUCGGUGCCGAAGUCAAAGAGCAGCGGCGCCAUCCUGCAGGAGCUGCCCUCCCCCAGCUGGGGAGGCGGCACUAUCUCAGGCUCAGGGCGCAGUGAGCUGGACGAGCUACAGGAGGAGGUGGCGAGGAGAGCCCGCCAGCAGGAGCAGCAGAAGCGGAAGGAGGCGGAGCGGGAGGCAGCCAUGGGAUUUAACCCCAAACCCAGCAAAUACAUGGACCUGGACCAGCUCCAACACCAGGCUGUGCUCAGACCCCUGCAUGAGGCUAACGCUCAUAGCGGAUUGGCUGUAGCUGCGUGCAUGAGGAGCACUGGGGGCCCAAUCAAACGCGGGCAGGAUCAGGAAAUGGAACGGGAGACAGGAAGCACCCGCCCACAGGGGCCACGCAGUGAACAGCCUGGCCCGGUCCAAGUACUGCUGACGCCCAAUCAGGAGGAGGAAGAGGACCAGGCGACGCCCAACCAGGACGCUGCUCUGGACCAGAACCCGCCCCCUCCACCCUAUCGGCCCCCGCUCACCCUCAGCAUCCCUCACCCGUGCGCCCCUUCCAGCCGUGGGCAGGAAAAAGAGGAGGAAGAGGAGGAGGAGGAGGGUGGGUGCGUGGGGAGGAGAGGGGAGGAAGGCGAGGACAGGAGGGAGGGGACAGGGGUGAGGCUGUGCGAGCUGCUGCAGGCAGGGGGGGUGAGUGUCAGACCCCUGGGGAAGCACUUAGCCAUCUCUCUGCCGUCGCUUCCUCUGCGUCUCUGGGAUACACACACCACACACGUCGCACACUACACACACCUUGAACCCACACACACACAACCACUCCCUCCCUCUCCUCCUCCUCCCCCAUCUCCCCCUCUGGAAGCCUCCGGGCAAAGGAAACCUCUCACGCCUCUCUGGCAGUCCCCCCAACCCCAUUCCCCUUCGGGCCCCCUGCAGCAUUGGCCGCUGCAAGGAGCCGCCGCCGACAGCGGGACGCGACAUUGGUCUUCCUGGAGUUUGGACCGCCCUGACGCUGUGGUGACGCCAUACGACACCCCACCAGACCGAUGCGUUCCCAUCAGGCCGCAUACCUCCAGCCAGCAUUACAGCUUCAGUUGCCAGUCCUCUCCAGGGCACUACAGCUCCCAGCAUGCCUCAGGGCAACACAGAGAUCCCUGCUGUGACCGGGACGAGGCUGAGCUGUCGGAGCUCGACUCCCUUUACCAGGCCAGUCUGCAGGCUGGACGGUCAGGCUGCAGCCCCUCAGAGAGGCUCAUAUCCAGGGUGGGAGGGCAGGGUCGCUCCAAGACCCCCAACGCAGACAUGGAGAGGAGUGUGUACGGGGCAGACUGCACCAGCACCCCCACCUACCUCAACAAGCCAAUGAUGUUGCAGGAUCUGCGUUUGGGGGCGGAGCCUGAGGACGGGGAGAACCUGAGGCAGAUUGGACGCAGCCUGAGCGGCACGGUAGUGACCCCACGCCGCAGCCGCUUGACUGCAACCCGCAGCUUUGUGAAGCAGGCUGAUGUCAGUGCCUCGCCUUGCUUGCUUCCUCUCUUCUGAGUCCCUGUUGCUAUUCCACCACUAUCAUCUCCUCCAUCCUCCUCAUCACCAACACCUUGUCAUCACCACCUCCCUCCACCGCUUCACAGGAGCUGUCAGGUGGAGCAGGGAGUUUCUGGCUGUGUCUGACGGGGGUCAAGCUCUCUUCUGACCAGAGUCGCGCUCUGCUUCACUAACGUCACCCUGUCCACCUUUCAACGUGGGGUGGCGGCGGGGCCGGGGUCCUCGUCAGCCUCGCUUUGACGGACCUGGAAUUGGCUCAGGAGGAUGAAACUAACCUCCAAUCCUGCUCCUCCUCCUCCUCCUCAAACAAACAUGCACACGCAAACACAUGCACGCACACAUCUGCACUGACGUAGAGCCUCCCUCAGCGCCUGCAGCACCUUGCUUAGCCCCUUCUUGCCUUCCUCCCUACCUUCCUUCCUUCCUUCCCUCCUCCUAUCCUUUCCUUUUAACCUACUAUUCUGUCUAUGCAGUCACUCUGACCCCCAACUACAACCUCAACCCUUUCCCCCCCUUCUUCCCGGGACUGUUUAUUGUCUCCCCCUGAGGUUUUUCUGAGGGUGUCCCUGCUCCGCUGGGUCUGACUCGGACCUGGACACUCUGCAGACUCCUCCAGCAGGACCCUCAGCUCAGGGGGAGGCUCUUAACCAAGUAGCCACGCCUCUUCCUCUUUCUUCACGGGCAUUUCCUGAUGGACGCACACGUAGCCGAACUGGGUCUAUUUCCGAUGGACAGCCAUAUUUUUUCUCUCCUUGAUUUUCGGGGUUUGUUUGUUUUCUUCUUCCUGUGUGCGCGCACAGUAAAACCCGCCCGAGAACUCCGGACUCUCUAAUAACUAAAAGUCAUGUACAGAAAAACUCAUGUAUGAAACCUGUAUGUUAAUUAAUAAGACCUUAUGGAAUGUUGAUAAUGAUAAUUAACGAAAAUAUUGAUAAACUUUAAAGUGGUACUUCCUCAUGUCUGCAUUUCAAAUAGAAGUGGAGUGCACUUCACAAGUGUCUAGCUGGAGUUUCCGCCCCCCCCUAAACCGCUCGCCGACCUAAUGACAGCUCUCCCGUUUCUACCGGGAGAUUAAACAAGAAAAGCGCUUCUUCUUUUCUUCUUCUUUUUCCUUCUUUCUCUCUUUUUUUCUUGCUCCCUUUGAUUCGCGCUUGCUUACUUUUUUCUUCCAAAAACAAAACACAGUAGCACCAGAACUAGGCCGACAAAGGGGAGGAAAAGUCUUGAAGGAGUAUGUAGGUUAGGGAACCGCUCUCUCAAAACAGGGAGCGACUCAAGUGCGCUUUGCAAGGUUUCUCGAAAGAAGUGCACUUUUUUUUGAAGGCUUUCAGACUGAAAAGCAGCCGGAGAGACGACGAUUGUGUUUGUUUAACUUAAAGGCCUCAGGUGAACUUUAGUGGCACUUUUGAAUUCACACUUUUUUCCUUCAAUCCUCCCACUGAAACUGGUUUGGAGACCUCAGUUGUGAAUAGAAAAUUCUCAUCUUCAGCCUGAGACAGUGACAUGUCUAAUAUGAAUAUGCUUUAUAACGUGUAUGUAUUAAAGGUAUAUUUUCAGAGGGAGAUACCUUCUUCAGAGAUGUCAACCAUUCCUCAGUUAUUAUACAUUAAUGAACAAUGUAACUCACUCCCCCUUUACUGAGGAGCGUUUUGACAUGUGUAGAGUACAUUUAUUAUAUGCUUUAUUCUAUGAAAUAUUACAUCAAUUAACAAAACUGGCCAAUGUAAAGUCCUCCAAGAAUUUAUAGAUGUUGAUCGAUCGUUGUUACUAAACCAAAGGUUGGCACUUAACUCAGAGAGCGUAUUUAACAUUGCUGUUUUUACUUUCAUUUACGUUGAGAUUUUGUUGUUUUUUAGUUUGUAUGUUUGUUGACUGUUUGUUUCUUUUUUGGAUGUGGGAGAAUGUAGCCAAUUGUAGCGCAUGAGUCCGCUAUGCAAAUCAAUCUUCCCUCACGAUUUCCUGUAUCAGAGACAGUGCAGGAGGCAGACACAGCCACCCCCUCGGGACGCUCUCAUGGACUCUGGCAGAGACCCCGGAGAGGAGGAGGAGGAGAUCUCAUGUUUUAAUGCUGCUGGUGAACUUUGUUGUUCUGCAUCUACUACUAUGUUUUAACCAAUGGAAUGCAAAAAGAGAGCAACAAGGCAGGAGAACGAGGGAGAAAGAGAGCGAAUGAAUGUAAUUAAAGGGUGAAAGUGUGUGUUUGUGAAUGGUUUGAUGGCAGAAGAGACAGAGAGAGAGAGGUGAGGAGUCACUUCAGAGGGUUCUUUGUUUGUGGGUGUGUCAGUUCUGGGGUGGUGUUGCUCGGGGAAAGAGGGAACCUGUAUUUUUGCAAUAAAGUUAUUACCAAUGCACUCCCACAGGGGGCGUAACCACCGU